rnacentral:tRNA from 1 species
GCCGGGCUAGCUCAGGGGUAGAGCAGAGGACUGAAAAUCCUUGUGUCGCAAGUUCAAAUCUCGCGCUCGGCACCA